GCUGGGUGUGGUGGCCCACGCCUGUAAUCCCAGCACUCUGGGAGGCUGAGGUGGGUGGAUCACUUGAGGUCAGGAGUUUGAGACCAGCCUGGCCAACAUGGUGAAACCCCGUCUCUA
rnacentral:SRP_RNA from 1 species